rnacentral:rRNA from 1 species
UACGUAGGGUGCGAGCGUUGUCCGGAUUUAUUGGGUUUAAAGGGUGCGUAGGCGGUCUCUUUAGUCAGUGUUCAAAUACGGUGGCUUAACCACCGGUCGGGCAUUGAUACUGGGAGACUUGAGUAAGGUUGAGGCAGCUGGAAUUUGUGGUGUAGCGGUGAAAUGCUCAGAUACCACAAGGAACGCCGAUCGUGAAGACAGGCUGCAGGGCCUUUACUGACGCUGAGGCACGAAAGUGCGGGGAGCAAACAGG